GCUGGGUGUGGUGGCACCGGCCUGCAGUCCCAGCUACUCAGGAGGGGAGGCUGAGAUUGGAGGAUCACUUGAGCUCAGAGUUCUGGGCUGUAGUGCGCUAUGCCGGGUGUCUGCACUGAAUCUGGCAUUGAUAUGGUGACCUCCCAGGAGCAAGGGACCACCAGGUUGCUUAAGAAGAGGUGAGCUAGCCCAGGCUGGGAACGAAACAGGUCAAAACUCCCAUGCUGAUCAGUAGAGGGAUCAUGCCUGUGAAUAGCCACUGAACUCCAGCCUGGACAACAUAGCCAGACCCCGUCU
rnacentral:SRP_RNA from 10 species